rnacentral:tRNA from 1 species
CGGGAGGUAGCAUAGUGGAUAAAGCAUUGGACUCCCAACCCUGAGGUCCUGAGUUCGAUCCCCAGCAGCACGU